GAUGAACGCUAGCGGCAGGCUUAACACAUGCAAGUCGAGGGGCAGCACGUCUUCGGAUGGUGGCGACCGGCGCACGGGUGAGUAACGCGUAUGCAAUCUACCUUUUACAGGGGCAUAGCCCGGGGAAACCCGGAUUAAUAUCCUAUAGUACCAUUAUAUAGCAUUAUAUUAUGGUUAAAGUUUCGGCGGUAAAAGAUGAGCAUGCGUCCUAUUAGCUUGAUGGUAAGGUAACGGCUUACCAUGGCUAUGAUAGGUAGGGGUCCUGAGAGGGAGACCCCCCACACUGGUACUGAGACACGGACCAGACUCCUACGGGAGGCAGCAGUGAGGAAUAUUGGACAAUGGGCGCAAGCCUGAUCCAGCCAUGCCGCGUGCAGGAAGACGGCCCUAUGGGUUGUAAACUGCUUUUAUACGGGAAGAAACACCCCUUCGUGAAGGGACUUGACGGUACCGUAUGAAUAAUGAUCGGCUAACUCCGUGCCAGCAGCCGCGGUAAUACGGAGGA
rnacentral:rRNA from 1 species